GGAGGGAGAGGAGGUUCUUUGAUGUAUGUAUACCCGGCGUGAGAUCAAAAAACAACGGUUCAAACGUUGGUCCGACCAGUUUAUUACAAAUGUUAAUAAGGGAGAUGGGGAAAGGGGAGGACGGACACUAUUACGGAUUGGGGUGAUGGGGAAGGGAAGGCGGGCGAUAGAAAAGAUAGAAAGAAGCAAGAACAGCGUAAAGCGGGGAUAGUCACCACCAGGAUCCGGCAGUAGUCCCGUUGCACGCCGUUCUGAUGGUCCGAGUAAGAAGGGCAGGAGCAGCGAGGCCGGUCUUGGGCAACGAGAGGGUGCAGGAGAGUUGGUAACACAGGAGCCCACCCAAGAAAUGGAGAUGGAGAGUGAAACAGAGUCUAAAGGGGAGGGAGCCACAAGAGAAGGAGUCAACCAUUGCAGGAUUUAAAGCACGGAAUAGAUAGCCUCCACUGAAGUGGAGUCAGGAGGAGGGAAGGGAACGGAUGUAGAAGUAUUGUUGGACCAGGAAACAGAGCAGGUAGGUAGCACAGUGGAGGUAAAAGUGCAUUUGCAAGACACAGUGUUGGUGUUUGUUCCCAGUAAUGUUAAUAUUGUUUGUUACUGCAUGAAUCUAGAAUGCUAAUAAGUGAAUAGUCUAUAGAUCUCUCACUAUUAAUCAAAGACUAGUACUUCUAAAUCUCUUUUGCAACAGGGUAAUUCUUCUGUUUUCAGAAUAUGGGAUUUUACACUAUAGUUACCAUUCUCAUAGGAAAAUACAAGAGCAUGUUGCAAUUACAUUGCAAAUGCAGUGCACAGGAACAUUAAAAAUAGGCUAGCAGGAGAUGAAGGAAAUAGUGGAAACUAUGGCUAUAAUUUUGUAUAAGUGGUAAUUCGACCCAGUUUUAAUUCAAUGAAGGUGUCAGCAGAAGUGGAAAGUUCUGUCUUAGACAAAAGAAAGAAGUAUCAGGUUCAAAGGACCUGUACUAUAAAUAGAAAUACAUAGGGUUAAAUUUCAAUUUCCUUGGUAAGGCGGAAGGUCACAAAAUUUAGGUAGAUUUGCCUGUUUCCUUCAGCCAAAAGAAGGUGGAAACUUUUUAUGAAGAAUCAGGAAGAUGGGUUGAAGAAGGAAUGCCAAAAACAGCCAAGACUGAAGAAAGACUAUGAACUGAUUUUGACAUUCUUUUCUGUGUUAGUAAAGGCAGGAUGUAUAAUGUCAGCAGUGGUUGAAGGCCUA